rnacentral:rRNA from 1 species
CCUGCGGGAGGCUGCAGUGGGGAAUAUUGGACAAUGGGGGGAACCCUGAUCCAGCCAUGCCGCGUGUGUGAAGAAGGCCCUCGGGUUGUAAAGCACUUUCAGUGAGGAAGAACGCCUGGUGGUUAAUACCCAUCAGGAAAGACAUCACUCACAGAAGAAGCACCGGCUAACUCCGUGCCAGCAGCCGCGGUAAUACGGAGGGUGCGAGCGUUAAUCGGAAUUACUGGGCGUAAAGCGCGCGUAGGUGGCUUGAUAAGCCGGUUGUGAAAGCCCCGGGCUCAACCUGGGAACGGCAUCCGGAACUGUCAAGCUAGAGUGCAGGAGAGGAAGGUAGAAUUCCCGGUGUAGCGGUGAAAUGCGUAGAGAUCGGGAGGAAUACCAGUGGCGAAGGCGGCCUUCUGGACUGACACUGACACUGAGGUGCGAAAGCGUGGGUAGCAAACAGGAUUAGAUACCCUUGUAGUC